UUACACACGUGCAAUUUCAUUUUCUAAUGGCAUGUCUGGAUUUUCCUUUUAGGUAUGUGAGAGCUCAACAAACAUGAACAAAAGGAAUUCUUCAAUUCAAUGUCAGAAAGAAAACCCAGAGUGUUUUUGAGAAG
rnacentral:lncRNA from 1 species